GGGCCCGCACAAGCAGUGGAGUAUGUGGUUUAAUUCGACGCAACGCGAAGAACCUUACCAGGUCUUGACAUCCCGUGCAUAGCCUAGAGAUAGGUGAAGCCCUUCGGGGCACGGUGACAGGUGGUGCAUGGUUGUCGUCAGCUCGUGUCGUGAGAUGUUGGGUUAAGUCCCGCAACGAGCGCAACCCUUAUCGUUAGUUACUACGCAAGAGGACUCUAGCGAGACUGCCGUUGACAAAACGGAGGAAGGUGGGGAUGACGUCAAAUCAUCAUGCCCUUUAUGACCUGGGCUACACACGUACUACAAUGGCCGUUAACAGAGAGAAGCGAUACAGCGAUGUGGAGCAAAAACUCAACAAAAGCGGUCUCAGUUCGGAUUGCAGGCUGCAACCCGCCUGCAUGAAGCCGGAAUUGCUAGUAAUCGCGGAUCAGCAUGCCG
rnacentral:rRNA from 1 species